rnacentral:rRNA from 1 species
CCCUUAGAUGUUCUGGGCCGCACGCGCGCUACACUGACGAAUGCAACGAGCUUAUAACCUUGGCCGAAAGGUCUGGGUAAUCUCCAAAUUUCGUCGUGAUGGGGAUAGAUUAUUGCAAUUAUUAAUCUUCAACGAGGAAUGCCUAGUAAGCGCAAGUCAUCAGCUUGCGUUGAUUACGUCCCCGCCCUUUGUACACACCGCCCGUCGCUCCUACCGAUUGAAUGGUCCGGUGAAGCGUUCGGACCGUGGCCUUUGGACGGUUCGCCGUCUGUUGGCUGCGGGAAGUUCGUUAAACCUUAUCAUUUAGAGGAAGGAGAANUCGUANCA